GCGUCAACUUUGAAGUGAUUUGAUUGAGGUUUUAUUAUUUUAUCAGUAUGUCUCUCUUUAUUGAAUCAUCCACUUUGAUCGUCGACAAUCCCAUUUUGGGCGAACUGUGUUGGACAGCACAAGCCGGAUCUAGUCGGCCAAUCGAAAUGGCUUGGAUUGAUGGCAAUGAUGCUUUUUUUAUUAUAGCUUUUUCUAUAGCUUUUAGUUUAAAUUUCAAUUUGUGAUUAUUGAUUUUUCCCCUUUGAUUUCUUUCAGGUAAGAAACGGUAAAGUUUUGAGCACGCCCUUGUGGAUAUCAACCAGCAAAGGAGAACUCGGGCGACAAGAAAAGUUUGGCCGUGGUGUUAUGGUCUUACUCGUCAAAGACAUUGCCACGCCCAGUACCGUAAAAGGGAAUAUAGUACGACGGUGAGCAAUCCUUGCCUCAACAGCCCAUGCAUUCCCUUGUGUGUCCUUAUUCCGGGCGGAUAUCCUUGCUCCUGCCUCGACAGCACGAUCCUGGUUCAAUCUGGUGAAGAAAUGUCGUGGGACGCGACUGAGGAACGAACUCGACCGUCUCCUUUUGCGCUGCCCUUGCCAGAAUCGUGGGGUCUGCACCGGUGACGGCCAAGUCCAAAGUUAGAGUGCCCCAACGAUUAUACGAAGGCGUCCAUUGCGAGACCAACUUGUUGCACCGUCCCACUUCAUCCGAAAGUCUGGCGCCAGCUUAGAUCGUCGUCCCUAUUCUCCUCAUCAUCCUCGCCGGAUCGGCCAGUGUCACCGUUUACGUAUUCUUCUUCCGACGAUCCGGCCGGGGCCAAAGGCUCUGGGCUUUACCGGAUUCAGCUAAAAAGUCCCAGCGUCUCCUUCCGGCUCCAACGACGAACUCCGUAUCAUAUAAACAGCUCUAGUGCCUCCAAGCUAUGAAACCGGUGGAUUCUGAAUUCAAUGGUCGUGACGCCUCGAUUGAAUUGCGUGAUUUCUUCAACGUGGAUGGACCUGUGGAUGCUCCCGAGGUUGGCAUCUAACAAGUCCCGACAGAAAUGAUUCGAGGUAAAAUUGUUGACCCAGCAGUUGACCAAUUUCAAAGAAUUUCGAAAUUUGAACUUGGAAUUUGCUGAAAUUAAAUUUUCUCAUGUA
rnacentral:lncRNA from 1 species